rnacentral:rRNA from 1 species
UACGUAGGGUGCGAGCGUUAAUCGGAAUUACUGGGCGUAAAGCGUGCGCAGGCGGCUCGUUGUGUCUGAUGUGAAAGCCCCGGGCUCAACCUGGGAAUGGCAUUGGAAACUGGCGAGCUAGAGUGUGGCAGAGGGGGGUGGAAUUCCGCGUGUAGCAGUGAAAUGCGUAGAGAUGCGGAGGAACACCGAUGGCGAAGGCAGCCCCCUGGGCUGACACUGACGCUCAGGCACGAAAGCGUGGGGAGCAAACAGG